rnacentral:rRNA from 1 species
GAUGAACGCUGGCGGCGUGCCUAAUACAUGCAAGUCGAGCGAACAGAUGAGGAGCUUGCUCCUCUGACGUUAGCGGCGGACGGGUGAGUAACACGUGGAUAACCUACCUAUAAGACUGGGAUAACUUCGGGAAACCGGAGCUAAUACCGGAUAAUAUAUUGAACCGCAUGGUUCAAUAGUGAAAGACGGUUUUGCUGUCACUUAUAGCUGGAUCCGCGCCGCAUUAGCUAGUUGGUAAGGUAACGGCUUACCAAGGCGACGAUGCGUAGCCGACCUGAGAGGGUGAUCGGCCACACUGGAACUGAGACACGGUCCAGACUCCUACGGGAGGCAGCAGUAGGGAAUCUUCCGCAAUGGGCGAAAGCCUGACGGAGCAACGCCGCGUGAGUGAUGAAGGUCUUCGGAUCGUAAAACUCUGUUAUUAGGGAAGAACAAAUGUGUAAGUAACUAUGCACGUCUUGACGGUACCUAAUCAGAAAGCCACGGCUAACUACGUG